AGGAGGAACAACCCCAGUGGCGGGGCCAGCUCUGGAGCCCUGGAUUCAGUUCCCGCAGUGACUAUGGAGCUCUGGGUCUGCAGGGUCUGGGGGCUCCGGGGCGGG
rnacentral:pre_miRNA from 1 species